CGCAGCCGCGGUAAUUCCAGCUCCAAUAGCGUAUAUUAAAGUUGUUGCAGUUAAAAAGCUCGUAGUUGAAUUUCGGGAUCGACGGGUCGGUCGCGCCUCUGGUGUGUACUGGCCCUGUCGGUUUCUCCCUUCUGACGAACCACGAUGUCAUUAAUUUGGUGUCGUGGGAAAUCAGGACUGUUACUUUGAAAAAUUAGAGUGUUUAAAGCAGGCAUUCGCUUGAAUACAUUAGCAUGGAAUAAUGAAAUAGGACGUUUGAUCUUAUUUUGUUGGUUUCUAAGAUCGACGUAAUGAUUAAUAGGGAUAGUUGGGGGCAUUAGUAUUCAAUUGUCAGAGGUGAAAUUCUUGGAUUUAUUGAAGACUAACUACUGCGAAAGCAUUUGCCAAGGAUGUUUUCAUUAAUCAAGAACGAAAGUUAGGGGAUCGAAGACGAUCAGAUACCGUCGUAGU
rnacentral:rRNA from 1 species